AAGUCGUAACAAGGUUUCCGUAGGUGAACCUGCGGAAAGAUCAUUAACACGUAUCCAAACGUUAAAACCCCCCCCGUGAACCUUCAUCCUGCGCUUGUAACCCGCGUAGUUCGCAAUCUCUGAUAAAUCAUAGCCCGGAAAGUUGUAGUGAUUCAGAGACCUCUGGCUACGUGCGAACAUUGGAACAGUUACAAUCGAGCGGUAGCUCUUUAGGCAAUGUUUCCCCAAGCAGUCAGUGUCGGAAAGUGUCAUUGAUCGUGCAAGGAUGCCCCCUAAUAACCCCACAGUUUAAUGUGAAGCUCAAUGUAAUACACUGGGUAAAAAAACCGAACAACUGUUAACAAUGGAUAUCUUGGUUCUC
rnacentral:misc_RNA from 1 species